UGGGAAUUUCGGAUUUUACACAGGUGGUUGGAUGUUACACUGUGGAAAUGGAAGGAAGACCAGGCCAUCAACCCACCCACCCCUUUAAGGGGAACAACAAUGUGACAACACUCCCCAUAUCCCAAUCUGAUCCAGGAUCUUUGAGACUUUCCAGUGAAAACGUUCCACUGAAGGCACAUUCACAAAAGCCUCGACCAUAGAACCAAAAGUCCCAGUUCCAGACUCUGCAGGAUGCCCCUCAAAGUCCUAGGUCUAUGCUCCAACUUGUCAGAGUUGUUUUGGUGGAAGAAGGGGGAGCUACACAAUCUCAGGGCAUGUCUUUUAUCCUGUCUUUCUUCUCUCAUCCCAACCGGUCGCAGAAGAUGGCCCCGC